rnacentral:rRNA from 1 species
UGGCUCAGGACCGGACGCUGGCGGCAGGCCUAACACAUGCAAGUCGAACGGUAACAGGAAGCAGCUUGCUUCUUUGCUGACGAGUGGCGGACGGGUGAGUAAUGUCUGGGAAACUGCCUGAUGGAGGGGGAUAACUACUGGAAACGGUAGCUAAUACCGCAUAACGUCGCAAGACCAAAGAGGGGGACCUUCGGGCCUCUUGCCAUCGGAUGUGCCCAGAUGGGAUUAGCUAGUAGGUGGGGUAACGGCUCACCUAGGCGACGAUCCCUAGCUGGUCUGAGAGGAUGACCAGCCACACUGAACUGAGACACGUCCC